CUAUCAAUUUAGCCCACUUCCAUCUUGAUUCUAUCAUCACUUCAGGUAGAUUAUAGUCAAGGGCUCACUUUUAAAGAAUAUAAAAAAAAAUUGAAAAAAAAACUUUAUUACGUUCGAUUUUUUACAGCUUCAAGAGACCGCAGACCUAAAAGAGAUACGUUCCCAAGAUUUUGACAAACAGACAAACAACAAAGUGAUCCUGAAAGGGUUCCCUUUUUUCUUUGAGGUACGGAAUCCUAAAAACUGUUAAGCUCGGGACUACCUUCUGAUUUUCCAAUGUUAUCAUAAUAACAAUAAUAUUUUUAACAGAGUAUCAAAAUACUUGGACCUUGCUCACCAGAUUAACGCCAUGUGGAAUGUUGAGUCAACUAUUAUUGUUCCGAUAGUUGUUUUAGUCAAUGGUCUUAUAGCGAAAAGCUUCGACCAACAUCUUAAGAAGCUUUCACUUAGCUGUUGGAUCAAGAGUCGGAUACAGAAGGUACUGCCUUCUGUAUCCGACUCUUGAUUCUUGAGACGGCGUGUAUUGUGAGGAGGUUCCUCACUCUGGAUCCCUGACCGCCGGUUGCUUGGGCGCUCAAAUGUUAAAAAAGGACAUAAAUAAAUGAUAGAAAAAAAAUCUUUUUAACAUAAAAAUGGAACCAAAAACAAAAAAGAACAUUAAAAAAACAUAAGCGUCGAAAAGAGUUUUCGUCGUUUUUGAAGUCGGUUAAUUAAUAUUUUUAAAUAAAUUAAAAAAUCACCGCGAUACAGUAAUAAUACAAAACAACUCGAGUUAUAAUAAAAAAAAUAUGUUAAAUAGUGUGGAUUGCAUUCCAACAUCAGUUAGAGAUAACAUAUAACAAUUAUUAUUAUCCUUAAACACCUUAUAUGGAAUAUUGUGACAUGUUGUCUGUCCGUGAAAAACUACCUUAUGAACCGAUUUUAAUUACAUUUUACGCUGUUGUGCAGUUAAUUUUAUUUUCUUGUUAAAACUUAAAACACGAAACUCUUACAGCAGUGUACGAAUUUUUACAUGUUCACCAAGUAGGCUUUACUUUAUCACCCUAUUCCCAAAAGAACAGAAAUUACGUGGAAAAUAUAUUCAUAUUUUUGCCAGUCGAUAUAUUUUAAUUUUUAUUGUAAUUGUGUCAUUUCUUUUUUUGUUUUUUUUUUUAUUUCAUUAUUUUUUUUUCUUUGUAUAAAAGCACUUUGUUAGAUAAUUUAAUUUAAAAAUCAUUUUUAUCAGCCCCAUCUACAUUUUGUAUAAUUACUUGUGGAUAGAGAUGUGGGUUGUGUAUGUAAACUAUUUGUUUUUAAAUUUACUUUAAGUUUUGUAAGAUAUAUUAUUGUACACAACUGUUUUCGAUCCUAAAUAAAUAAAAUAUAAUAAAACAAAAUAAAAUGAGUUUUUGCGACAUAAACGGCCGAUAUGAAGACUACUCAAGGCUAUUCGACUACUGUAAAAUAUUGCCGGUGCAGAAUAAAGUAGUCGUCGCAAUCCUCAAAGAAGAGUUUGACUUCAUACAAAUAAAAAUGAGCGUAUUGGCGGACUCCGCAAGCUCCAUAACAAUAAAAAGUUUAUAAUGCCCAGAAAAAACAAUUAUUAUGGUAAGCACCAAAGACUAUAUGGUGCCACAUAUAUUGGACAAUUUGCCAGGACUGGAUACUAGCAAAUUGUUCAAUAAUAAUUUAACCUAAAAAAAAUUGGUAAAAUAUGUAAAGGGUGCAUCUUGAACGGGAGGGGAGGGUUCGCAGAUGCACUUCGCUAGGGGACAUACUUAGGCAUUAUAAAAGAUGGUGCCUAAUUGUGUUCCUUAUGUGUAGCUUCCAGGUACAGUCGACCUGGGUGUUAAUUUUAACUCGAUAUUUCCAUUCGUUCCCGAGAUAAAUAAAUGUUCAUGAACCACUUCUCGUCUAGACUAAUAGAGCCAAUAAACUUAAGAAGUCGGAAGCCCAACAUCGGCCAGAUUGGGCGAGAUUGUGCCGGAAAGCGGACUUGGGGUCCGAAGAAGAAGAAGAAUUAAAAAGAAAAUGCAAGGCUAAUGAGACGACUAUUUGACGGCCUCCGUGGCGCAGUGGUGUGCGCGGUGGAUUUUCAAGACGGAGGUCCUGGGUUCGAUCCCAGGCUGGGCCGACACAGUACACAGUUUACGAUGCUCUUUGCGUAGCCAGAGAUAGGAAAAAAUGGCAUAACAUCCUAAGGACAAGGAUUAGAGCUGGAGGUGGUCACGACCCUCACACAUGAGGAUUACGACUCACGGAGGAGGAGGAUAACAAUAUUAAGUUGUAAA